AACUGGGUUACCAUCCCCUGGGGUUUACUAAGGCACCUGGCCCAUCCCUUGGAUCUGCUCUUCAACCAGAGGCAGAGCUCUUGGGUCAGGUCCACUAGAGACACAGAAGGCCCUCUAUGGCUGACCAUGGACUGAAACUUCUGAAAUUCCCAUGGGACACCUCCAUUGGACUUCAGAUCAUCUUCAGUGGCAACGUUUGUACAAAAGAGGAAGCACCUUAACACAGAUAGACUGAAGACCUGAAAUGAAUUUCCCUAUGUGAGCCAGACUGCCAGGCCACACUGUCACCAAGUGUGACCUCAACUGGUGGCUCCUGUUAGAAAUUCAAGCUCCCACCAACUCCCCCUUGCCCAGCCUUCUGAACCAGAAUUUGGAUUUCAGCAAGAUGCUGAUACUCAGGUGGUUCCCAAGCACAUUAAAGUUUGCAAGCACCCACUAAAAGAGACUGCAACU